GACGAACGCUGGCGGCGUGCUUAACACAUGCAAGUCGAACGGAAAGGCCCUGCUUUUGUGGGGUGCUCGAGUGGCGAACGGGUGAGUAACACGUGAGUAACCUGCCCUUGACUUUGGGAUAACUUCAGGAAACUGGGGCUAAUACCGGAUAGGAGCUCCUGCUGCAUGGUGGGGGUUGGAAAGUUUCGGCGGUUGGGGAUGGACUCGCGGCUUAUCAGCUUGUUGGUGGGGUAGUGGCUUACCAAGGCUGUGACGGGUAGCCGGCCUGAGAGGGUGACCGGCCACAUUGGGACUGAGAUAGGGCCCAGACUCCUACGGGAGGCAGCAGUGGGGAAUAUUGCACAAUGGGGGGAAGCCUGUUGCAGCAACGCCGCGUGCGGGAUGACGGCCUUCGGGUUGUGAACCGCUUUCGCCUGUGACGAAGCGUGAUUGACGUUAAUGGGUAAAUAAGCACCGUCUAACUACGUG
rnacentral:rRNA from 1 species